CAGAUUUGUAUAAGAGAGAGUCCCAUACACUGCAGGUGAGACUCCUGAUGUUGACAUUGGCCAAAGCCUUUGCAAACAAGCCCAGCCAGAAAGGUUCAACAUUUACAACCGCUGCUUUAAUGAGGGCAUUGAUCUUAUCCUCCGUGACCCGUCACCUCAUCGUUGUGCAGGAUGAGGGCUGAGUAGAAGCAGGCAAGCUCCCAGACCGAGGCCAUGGUGCAGGUGGGUGCUGAGUGGGUGCUGCCAGGAGCUGUGCUAGUCACAGGGUGAAGUGAGGGCCUCACCCUAUUCUGGCCAUAGCUUCCUUAGAAGAAUGGAGCACGUUAGCAGCAGCUGAGGAAAAGCUGUCUAUCCCCCUUUUACAGGAAAUUUAGACUUGCAAAUCUGUCUGACUUCAAAAUCCAUGUUUUUCAAAAGAUAAUCUUCCCACAAGUAGGCAUUAAGGUCUUUUCCAGCCACACAGCACAGAGAGAACACAGCUGCCAGAGUUGGAGAAUUCUAAUCUUUACACAAGGCAUGCAUGCUCUCCACAUUCAAGAUAGAAGGGCAGAAUUCUGGCCCUAAAAAUGCCAUUUUGGAAUAAACAGUACUAUAUUAGGGGAGACUAAGAACUAUUUGCAAUUAGUAGUAAGAGCCAAGAAACAAGAAUAGUCAUGCUACGGCAGACCAAAUGAGAUGUGACUCAGAGGGAAAAUCCAUUGGUUGGGUGCCCUAGCCAAAGUGGGAAAUGGGUAAUGGUUAUUCCCACAUCCAUGAGGAAUACCUUCAGAAUGAAAUCAGAGGCUAUUGAAUGCACUAUACAUUAUUGUACAUAUACUGGUAUUAUAAGCACAGAAACUUCACAUUUCUCAUUAUAGGAUUGGGUUUCAUACACUCCAAGCAGUAGUUUUAGCGUCCUCAUGAAAUCCCAGGUUAAAGACCCUCUAUAACUGAACUGUUUUUUUCUGACUUUAGAGCCAGGAUUUUUGGUGUUCAGGCAUCAGCUUCACUAAUGGAACCACAUCAUAAAUUUAUUUCGGCCCAGAUAUAGUCACAUUACACAGUCCUAUAGUUAUGGAAUGGCAUUAUAAAAAUUAAAGGUACCAUUUGAUUUAGUAAGGGGAGAAAGAAAGAGAGAGAGAAGUAGAAGUGCUUAGAGAUGAAAUUAGCAUGGACUGAUUAUUCAGGUGAGGCUUACUCAGGAGGUAGGACUAAAGCUAUGCCUGAAAGGACCAACAAAAUUAAAAUUUGGGAGAGAAGAGAAGUUAAGGGAAAGGCAUUUCAGGUAAAAGGAAAGAGAAAACCAACUGGCUGAGAUAUGUUUGGACUGGGAGAGUAUGGGAAGUAAUAUUAGGAAGUUCAGAUCACCCCAUAUAUUGGAAAGCUUUGAAAAAGUAUGAAGGGUUAGAACUUGAUUUGGGGGCAUUAAAAGUGAUGAGGUCCUUUGAGCAGGACAUAACAUUCUCUCUCUCUCUCUCUCUCUCUCUCUCUCUCUCUGUCAAAAGAAAUAAACUUAAGAAAUAAAAAGACUACGGAACUAAAGCUACUUUGAGUCAUUGUCACAAGAAACAAGAGCUCUCUGAUUAGAGAGAGAGCACAAUUACUAAUUAAGUAAUUGUUAAGUAAGGAUCACUUACUGUCCUUUCUUGGAAAGUCUCUGUUGAAAUAAGCUGUAAUAAUUUGAGUAAUAUGAGUGACACUAAAGUUUCAACCAUGUAUAAACAUUGCUACCCAAGAGUGACAAGGUUUUUGACUUUAGAAACUCAGAAGAUCUGAACUGCCAAAGAAGAGAUCUUUUUUUUUUUUUCAAACGUGUGAAAGUAGACAUUUAAACAAAAUUAUUACAGUGAGAAACCUGGUAAUUUCAACAAUUUUAAAAUCUGUUCUUACUGCUUAAAUUGUAAGUCAAAUUCUGUAUUAUUUAUGUAGCAAUUUUCUAUUUAGAAUAUCAAUUUCUAAACCUGGCUGGUCAUUAGACUCCUUUAGGGAUUUUUUAAAUAAGGAAAUUCCCAGCUCCACCCAAGAUACAAAUCAAAAUAUCCAGAGUUUGGGAAUAUUUAUGUUAAGAAAAGCUCUCCAGCUGAUUCUGGUGUGGAUAGAGUUUUGAAAAACACUGACUUAGAAGCUACAGCAUCAAAAAAUUUUAAUAGGGUUGCUUAAUGGGUGAGUUUGGUGCCAUCUAUCAAAUGUAAUAAGGGGAACACAGCUGAAAAAUGGGUGGAUAAAUGUAGAGUCUGAACAUCUGAGGGAACAGUCAGUUUCUGUAAGAGGGCAGGAAGAAUUAAAGUUGGGGUAUAGCCAAGCCACCAGGACCAAGAAAAAAGGGAAAGGCAUUAAAGCUUAAGUGGGUGAAUGACAUGGGCAAUAGCGUGGGCAGGCACUGCUGAGUUCACAUGUACUGAAGGGAAAGACUAGAAGGAAAAACUAAGUUCUAAAGCCAGCUCUUCCAUAGUGAUAUCUUUCGUCAGGAUUUGUAGUAUUCUCCCAGUUGCAUGGGCCAAAGGUCUAAGGUGCUGACCUCCUGAGAUCGAAAUGUGCUGGUGUCUGGUCUCAAGGAGUCUAGAUAGCUGUGAAAUCUAGAGUCAAGGUUACUAAGUAAAAGUCAGUGCCUGAUCUGGCAUCCAGAAAAUAGCACAUUCCCAAUUGUGGAUUGUAUGAAUUUAUAAAAGUCAAAUGAAUUAAAGACUAUAAGAACCACAUAAAUCAGAAGAACAAAAAUUAUAUCAAUUUAUAUGAUAUUCAGUGGUGAAACCAAGAGAAGUUAGUGAUUGAAGAAUAAAAAUAAGGGGAAUAAAUGAUUAUGCCCAAUUUCUGGUUUGAGGAAAUUGCCUGAAUGGUAGUACUUAUUUACUUAUUUAUUUAUAAGUAAUACAAAUAUGUAAAUGGCAUAUAAACU